rnacentral:rRNA from 1 species
UACGGGGGGGGCAAGCGUUGUUCGGAAUUAUCGGUGGCGUAAAGGGCUCGUAGGCGGUUUGUUGCGUCGGAAGUGAAAACUCAGGGCUUAACCCUGAGCCUGCUUCCGAUACGGGCAGACUAGAGGUAUGCAGGGGAGAACGGAAUUCCAGGUGUAGCGGUGAAAUGCGUAGAUAUCUGGAGGAACACCGGUGGCGAAGGCGGCAUCCUGGACCGGCAUUGACGCUGAGGCGCGAAAGCCAGGGGAGCAAACGGGG